rnacentral:rRNA from 1 species
GAUGAACGCUAGCGGCAGGCCUAAUACAUGCAAGCCGAACGGCAAGUUUGAUAGCAAUAUUGGACCUAGAGUGGCGCAAGGGUGCGUAACACGUAUGCAACCUGCCCGCGACAGUAGGAUAGCUCCCCGAAAGGGGAAUUAACCCUCCAUAACACCAUGAGUAGGCAUCUGAUUAUGGUUAAACCGCACGGUGUCGCGGAUGGGCAUGCGGUUGAUUAGGUAGUUGGCGGGGUAAAGGCCCACCACGGCGGUGAUCAAUAGUGGUUCUUAGGGGAAGGUCACCGAAACUGGCACUGGGAUACGAGCCAGACGCCAGCGAGAGGCAGCAGUAGGGAGAAAUGGACAGUAGUCGUAAGACAGCCCCAGCCAUGCCGCGUGCAGGAAGAACGCCUUCUGGGGCGUAAACUGCUUUUUCGUGUGGAUAAAAUACACGAGCGCGCGGAAUUGAAGGUAACAGAAGAAUAAGCAACGGCUAACUACGUG